AUUUAAUUUAGAAUAGAUUGCACCACACACAGAGGCAAGGCUGAAUUAAAAUUGCAUUAGCAAUCUAGAGUGUAUUUGUGGCGAUUUUUUUUAACAGUACAACUUCUUUAAUACCGUGCUUAGUGCAAUGUCUGUCUCUUAAAAUCCUCUCCUUCUUCCUACUCCAAAAUCAAGUGCGUGGUGUGUAUUUGCCCCUGUUAGACACUGGACAUGGUGCAGGCCUUGGCUGGGACAACAUGAUAUCACUGGAGCAUGGCAGAGAAACAGGUGGUGGUGGUGGUACGAGAAAAGCAGCGGGGAGGGUGCACCAGCCAGCGUGGGAUAGAGCAGAAUCCAGGUGAGGAACCUCUGAUUCUUUUUCCUCACCCUCCAGGGACUCCACACUAUCCAAGCCACACUGCCUCGCAUUCCCCUCAGCCCUUUUGUGUGUUUGUGGAUGCGUGUGUGUGUGAGAAAGCAGACACGUGGUGGAAACCAGCAGGGCCUUGUUUCCUCUGGUUGCUGCUCAACCAGAAGCAAAAUAUUCCACAGUUCUAACUGGAUACUGUGAAGUCCAAAAGCGGUCAGCAAUGUGAAUCAUGUCCAUUGAAACACUGCAAGCGGUGUACUUAUAACGACAGUAGGCCUUGUAGAUUUGUAAUAUAUUUUGUUUUGUUUCUUUUUUUGUAGUGCUCUUCACAAGUGAGAAAAAAGAUUUUUUUUUUUAUUAUUUUUCUGUCUGUUUUUUUUAAAAUUUUUUUGUGGUUUUUUUUUUUGUCGUUUGCUUUUUGUAGUAAAGAAGGGUUGUAUUUAGAGGCCAGUAGCUAGAGAUCCAACCAGUGGAGCUCAUGAAGCACUACCUGGCCUUAAGGCCACCAUCCAAGGGAGGUUGGGAAAAUUAUUAUUCACCCAGCCUCCGGAAAUGUAAUGUACCAGCAGGCAAAAAACAGUUCUUCAUGUAGUACAAAAAACAACAAAACAAAAUGAACCCAAAAAAAGGAGGAAAAUAAAGGUAAAAAUGAAACAAAAAUAAUUUCUUAAAUUCUAGUGCCAUAGCUUUUUUUGUUGUUUCUAUUUUUGUUGUUCGUAACAAA
rnacentral:lncRNA from 13 species